GGGUGCGAUCAUACCAGCACUAAUGCACUGGAUCCCAUUAGAACUUCGAAGUUAAACGUGCUUGGGCGAGAGUAGUACUAAGAUGGGUGACCUCUUGGGAAGAUCUCGUGUUGCACUCU
rfam:Ricinus communis cultivar Hale ctg_1100012362469, whole genome shotgun sequence.